rnacentral:rRNA from 1 species
AAAAGAUAAUUACAAUAAGAUUCCACUAUUUGUAAUAGCA